rnacentral:rRNA from 1 species
UACGAAGGGUGCAAGCGUUACUCGGAAUCACUGGGCUUAAAGAGUGCGUAGGCGGUCUAGUAGGUGGGGUGUGAAAGCCCCCGGCUCAACCGGGGAAUUGCGCCCCAAACCACUAGACUUGAGGGAGAUAGAGGUGAGCGGAACUGAUGGUGGAGCGGUGAAAUGCAUUGAUAUCAUCAGGAACACCGGUGGCGAAGGCGGCUCACUGGAUCUCUUCUGACGCUGAGGCACGAAAGCUAGGGGAGCGAACGGG